rnacentral:misc_RNA from 1 species
GGGGGCAACUGAGAUUUACAGUGACAGUAGCUCAGCUAUAGCUAUGACAAAAAAUCCCGUCUUUCAUGGUCGAGCUAAGCACAUAGAAAUAAGCACCAUUUUAUAAGGGAGCUAGUAGCUAAGGAGGAAAUCAGCUUGAAAUUCUGCAAUUCAGAUGAACAGAUUGCAGACAUCUUCACAAAGGCGCUACCAUAUUCCAAGUUUAGUU